CCCUUCGGGGUGUGACUGCGUACCUUUUGUAUAAUGGGUCAGCGACUUAUAUUCUGUAGCAAGGUUAACCGUAUAGGGGAGCCGUAGGGAAACCGAGUCUUAACCGGGCGUUAAGUUGCAGGGUAUAGACCCGAAACCCGGUGAUCUAGCCAUGGGCAGGUUGAAGGUUGGGUAACACUAACUGGAGGACCGAACCGACUAAUGUUGAAAAAUUAGCGGAUGACCUGUGGCUGGGGGUGAAAGGCCAAUCAAACCGGGAGAUAGCUGGUUCUCCCCGAAAGCUAUUUAGGUAGCGCCUCGUGAAUUCAUCUCCGGGGGUAGAGCACUGUUUCGGCUAGGGGGCCAUCCCGGCUUACCAACCCGAUGCAAACUGCGAAUACCGGAGAAUGUUAUCACGGGAGACACACGGCGGGUGCUAACGUCCGUCGUGAAGAGGGAAACAACCCAGACCGCCAGCUAAGGUCCCAAAGUCAUGGUUAAGUGGGAAACGAUGUGGGAAGGCCCAGACAGCCAGGAUGUUGGCUUAGAAGCAGCCAUCAUUUAAAGAAAGCGUAAUAGCUCACUGGUCGAGUCGGCCUGCGCGGAAGAUGUAACGGGGCUAAACCAUGCACCGAAGCUGCGGCAGCGACACUGUGUGUUGUUGGGUAGGGGAGCGUUCUGUAAGCCUGUGAAGGUGGCCUGUGAGGGUUGCUGGAGGUAUCAGAAGUGCGAAUGCUGACAUAAGUAACGAUAAAGCGGGUGAAAAGCCCGCUCGCCGGAAGACCAAGGGUUCCUGUCCAACGUUAAUCGGGGCAGGGUGAGUCGACCCCUAAGGCGAGGCCGAAAGGCGUAGUCGAUGGGAAACGGGUUAAUAUUCCCGUACUUGGUGUUACUGCGAAGGGGGGACGGAGAAGGCUAUGUUGG
rnacentral:rRNA from 1 species